rnacentral:rRNA from 1 species
CCUACGGGAGGCAGCAGUGGGGAAUAUUGCACAAUGGGGGAAACCCUGAUGCAGCGACGCCGCGUGAGUGAAGAAGUAUUUCGGUAUGUAAAGCUCUAUCAGCAGGGACGAAAAUGACGGUACCUGACUAAGAAGCCCCGGCUAACUACGUGCCAGCAGCCGCGGUAAUACGUAGGGGGCAAGCGUUAUCUGGAUUUACUGGGUGUAAGGGGAGCGUAGGUGGCAUGGUAAGCCAGGAGUGAAAAGCCAGGGCUCAACUCUGUGGAUUGCUUUUGGAACUAUCAAGCUAGAGUGCUGGAGGGGUAAGCGGAAUUCCUAGUGUAGCGGUGAAAUGCGUAGAUAUUAGGAGGAACACCGGUGGCGAAGGCGGCUUACUGGACAGAAACUGACACUGAGGCUCGAAAGCGUGGGGAGCAAACAGGAUUAGAUACCCCGGUAGUC